rnacentral:rRNA from 1 species
GACGAACGCUGGCGGCGUGCUUAACACAUGCAAGUCGAACGGAAAGGCCCUGCUUUUGUGGGGUGCUCGAGUGGCGAACGGGUGAGUAACACGUGAGUAACCUGCCCUUGACUUUGGGAUAACUUCAGGAAACUGGGGCUAAUACCGGAUAGGAGCUCCGGCUGCAUGGUGGGGGUUGGAAAGUUUCGGCGGUUGGGGAUGGACUCGCGGCUUAUCAGCUUGUUGGUGGGGUAGUGGCUUACCAAGGCUUUGACGGGUAGCCGGCCUGAGAGGGUGACCGGCCACAUUGGGACUGAGAUACCGCCCAGACUCCUACGGGAGGCAGCAGUGAGGAAUAUUGCACGAUGGGCGGAAGCCUUAUGCAGCAACGCCGCGUGCGGGAUGACGGCCUUCGGGUUGUAACCCGCUUUCGCCUGUGACGAAGCGUGAGUGACGGUAAUGGGUAAAGAAGCACCGGCUAACUACGUA